rnacentral:tRNA from 1 species
CAAGUGAGCAUAGUUUAACCAAAACCCUAAGCUGUGGCCUUAAAAACAAGAACUAG